UAACAGGUGUAGCAAUACAUGCUGACGAGCGGCGGACGGGUGAGUAACGCUUGGGAAUCUGCCUGUUAGUGGGGGACAACCCGGGGAAACUCGGGCUAAUACCGCAUACGCACUACGGUGGAAAGCCGGGGACCGCAAGGCCUGGCGCUAACAGAUGAGCCCAAGUCGGAUUAGCUAGUUGGUAGGGUAACGGCCUACCAAGGCGACGAUCCGUAACUGGUCUGAGAGGACGACCAGUCACACCGGAACUGAGACACGGUCCGGACUCCUACGGGAGGCAGCAGUGGGGAAUAUUGGACAAUGGGGGAAACCCUGAUCCAGCGACGCCGCGUGGGUGAAGAAGGCCUGCGGGUUGUAAAGCCCUUUCGGUUGGGAAGAAAAGCUGCGACCUAACACGUCGCGGCCUUGACGUAACCAACUAAAGAAGCACCGGCUAACUCUGUGCCAGCAGCCGCGGUAAUACAGAGGGUGCGAGCGUUAAUCGGAAUUACUGGGCGUAAAGCGCGCGUAGGCGGCUUUGCAAGCCGGAUGUGAAAUCCCCGGGCUUAACCUGGGAACUGCAUUCGGGACUGCAUUGCUAGAGUAUGGGAGAGGGAAGUGGAAUUUCAGGUGUAGCGGUGAAAUGCGUAGAUAUCUGAAGGAACAUCAGUGGCGAAAGCGACUUCCUGGACCAAUACUGACGCUCAUGUGCGAAAGCGUGGGGAGCAAACAGGAUUAGAUACCCUGGUAGUCCACGCCAUAAACGAUGAGAACUGGAUGUC
rnacentral:rRNA from 1 species